CCCGAUCUAACCUGUGAGAUGUAGGGAAAAGGGUGAGUACAUGGGAUACUCAGUAGGAUAUAAAAAUUUAUGGUGCGAUCCCGUAUAAUAAUUUUAAAACAUGCAUCAGAAUAUCAUAUCGUCUCAUAUCUUUAAAUUCGGCAAGAACUCAUAUCAUAUCAUAUCAUAUUGUUGUAUCGGAGUGGCCAUAUCAUUCACAUCAUAGCAUAUCAUAUUAUAACUUUAACUUUCAUGAGUAUAAAAUUCAUUAGCAUGAAAAAAUAUUUAAACAGGAAUAAAAAAAAUACUGCACCUUAAUAUCCUACCUUAUUAGAUCGUUUUAAUUUUUGGAUGACAAAACCAAAGAAAUCACGCUCCAAAAAUCCUUCUCGCUGCUUCAAGAAUUUAUAUUGUUUGAAAUUGACUUCCUAUUUUAAAUUGCAAUACCAUAAGUAUAAGUAUCUAUAAUUUUUUUUUAAGGUAUAAAGUAAUAUUCAUUUUACACUACAUAAAUAUGAAGUCUGUAAUUUACCUGAUUUUAACACUAUUCUUUCUCUACAACCAUGUGCUUGUACAUAUGUCUUCUUUUGAUAUACAUCUAUAAAUAUAUCCCACAUGAUCUAGUCUAACAAAGUGGGUGUGUAGUUGGGGAUAUAUGUAGUAGUAGGAUAGGAGUAUAGAUAAAUUUCGGAAACGAAAUUUUUGAAAUAAAAUAAUUGACCAAAUCUUGUCAACCAACUUUAUCACUCAACAAGCAAUACCUCUCUCACACGUGGCCAACAAAUUGAAACAAGAAUAAAUAAAGUUUCUUUCUCUCUCUUCUUUUCUUUCUCUCUCUCACGUGGUCCUAUCUCCCUCUCUUCUUUUAUAUAUAUAAUAAUAAUAAUAAUAAUUAUUAUUAUUAUUAUUAUUAUUAUUAUUAUUUGGAUAAAAAAAUAUUCAAUCAUAAUCUACCAAGAAUCUUCUCUAUUCAUGUGACUUGAGCAAGGGAGACUUAAAUUCAUUAAAUAAUAAAUUUAAAUAUAAUUUUAAAGCUAUAUCUUUCAACCUUGAUAACUUGAGCUCCACUUAUCAAAAUUAACUUUUUCUCGAGUCUAACAUGAAUGAUUAAUUAUGAUCUAUCCAACGAGCCCAAUGUUUAUAUACUUAUUAUCGCUUCGUCAUUAUCUACAUUUAAGCCAAAUAAAAUUGAAAUUUACUUUAUAUAUACUUUAGUCCCUAAACUUUCAAAACAUUAAAAUAUAGUGUACAAAAAAAAUUAAAUUCCUUCCAAUGAAAUUUCGGGACAUUACAUUGGAACAUUCCUACCGAUCGUUUUGGCGUACAUUUCAUAUGGUUAAGGGAGAUCGUAUAUGCUUAAGAGUGCACCUAAUUUUUUCCAACUGGAUUUUUAUGAAUUUUAUCCCAUCUUCACAAUUAAAUUAAAAAUGUGAUAAACACAGCAGAUAUAAAGUAAAAUACCACCAAAAGUGGGAUGAAGUGUCGAGCUAAUUUAUAAAUUACUACUAUAUUGAUUGUUGCAAUAUCAAAUGUAAAAGUGCAGAUUUUAUUUUCAAAAUUAAAUUCUCGGAUAAUGCUCAUUAAAGUAUUACAAAAUUUAGAUGAUCAUGAGAUAAUUUAGUUAUUUUAAAAGCAAUAUAUUUUUUAUGUAGUACCCACUAUUUAUCUAUUUAGCGUGUAGUAGCAGCUAUGUAAUCUUUAUGAUUAUUAUUGGACCACAUGUUAUAUGUAAAUGAUAAAAGAUAUAAAUGAUUAAACACCAGUAUCUUUACUUAAAUCACUUAUUAUUCAAUCUUUCUUUUUAUUUUAUAAAAUAAUAGAAUCCAAAUGAAGAGUGUUUCUGUAGUAGGAUUUUACCUAGUUGGAGAUAUAAGUGAACACUUUUCACUAUACUAAGCUAUUCACCACUAGCUAAGAAUAAUGUCAAACAUUCGUUCAUUGCCUCUUGUAAAUUGACAUGACCCAUCCCGUAUCAGUCUAAUGGACUAGGAAUGUGAUGUGUGCCGACGAUAGAUGUUGACUAGAGGCUAGAUCCACCACCAAGGCUGACUAUGACUUACUACAAAAUGUCCGCCAAAAUCAAAUAUUUAUGCAAAAUAUAAUGCAAUGGGUCCCAAAAAAAAUAAUUAUUUCAUGUUUUACCAAAAUGAAUCAUAUAACUCAAUAUGUCAUGUGGCUCUAAUUCUAAUGCCACCAGCGUCCUCAAGCUAACAGGGACAAUACUACCUGUAAGAAAAAUUUGGAAAAAAUAGGAAUUUAUAACUCAAUGAAUGGAAGAGUUUGAAAAUAAUUAUACUUUCUCACUUAAACAUUUUUCUCAUAUGUAGACAUCAAGUUCAUAUCGUUUAGUAAUUCACACGAUAACCUCAUACAAUUAUACCAAAAAAGAGACAUUCUCAUAACUCUGUAAAUAUCAUCUCAUCACAUCACAUAUGAUCCGCCAAAAAUGUGCUCUCUAACUAAAAUCUAAAAAAAAAACCCCGAGAUCUCAUCACAUUACAUGUGAUCCGCAAAAAAUGUACCCUCUAAAUAAUCUGAAAUCCGUCACUCGGGCUAAGAACUUUCACCAUGGGUCUUUGGCCCUCUCCGUGAACGAAAGUUGGUCUCAAGACCUCUGGUAGUCAUCCGUGAACUAGAAGAAGUAUAUAAUCACUGGUACUUUUUUGAUCGAUCUCAAUAUUACAUCUCAUAUUCCAAAUCACAAACUUUAGCAUAUACAAUCUUUGAAAUUCCACAUGUAUCAUGGUAAAAGAAACUUUUAUGGUAAUCAUAUAAUUGAGCAAAUAAUUCACAUAACUUAAUAAUAUACUUAAUUUAUAAUACCUUGAAAUUAUUUAAGUUUUUCCACUCACAGAUCUAUGGAUAGAAAUUUGAUUAAAUUAAAGAACCUUUCUAAACUUUCACAUCCCUACCUGAAAUAACGUAUAAUUUCUUAAAACUUAACAAUUAUAGUAAUGCAAAUCCACCACUUAACAUCUCAACUUCUAUACUUACUCUUAUAUCUCCAAUUCCCCAACUUUUCUUCUCUUUAAUAAUUUAUCAACUAAUCACCAUACACUAUCAAAUUCAUUACACCACUCACACUUCCUUAAAAUCACUACCUUUAUACAUAUACAACAGCUGUACAUAUUUAGUCCAAUACAUAGACUUCAAAAUUUGUCAUAUAAAUUCAUUCAAAACUUUAAAAAUCUAGAAAUCCAAGGUUUGACAAAACAGCACUAAAAUUCCAGAAUAUAGAAAUCUAGCACCAAUUUCUAUAUAUUGAAAUCUGGCAUCGAAACCAUUGACAUUUUUGGGUAGAAUUUCAGAAUUAACACUUGUACUAUAAUAGCUUGAAAAUUGCUUUAAAAUAAUGGAGAAUUCAAAUCUCAAAUCCUUAAUUUGAGUGUUUAGCAUCAUAUAAUCACAAGAAACUCAAAGAAUAUAUCUUUCAUCUCACAACCCAUUUCCAAAAUUCUACUUUCUUCAACUUCAAUUUUCAAAUAAAUAUUUCCUUGCUAUAUUCUUAAUUAAAACCUUGAAUACACAUCAAUAACACCUAAUUCUUGCUAACUUCAAAGUUUUAGAGAUAAGUUUCAUAGACCCUAAAGGAGAUAAUUUCACAUUCUUAUACUUACCUCUCUAAAUUAAGGGGAGAAAAUGAGAAAUUGAGAACCUAGCCUUGUAAAAUUGGAACCUAUCCCUUCCUUCUUUUUCUUUUUCUCUUCCAUUUUCUUCCUUUUCCUUCCGUGGUUUUGUUCUUUGCUUCUCCAUUCGGUUUUUCUCCCCC
rnacentral:lncRNA from 1 species